GCAAUUUGAGCAACAUGUCAAAGUAAAUAAACAACAGCGUCACUGUCAACACACAAAACUACGGCACGGCAAGGGGCAGGAUGUGUGUGCCCUGGCAUUGGACACAUUGGGGUGUGUCCUGACAGUCGCUUUGCUAUUUGUUAUGCUUACGCCUCGAUUGUGCUGAAAAAUCAACAAGCCCAUCGACGGCCAUUGAUGUCUAAGCGCCGACCGGCACCUGGGAAGUUAUGGCCGCUUGAUUUAUGUCCUGCCACCCCUCCUGGCAAAGUCGUUUAAUUAUUGAACAGGAGAGGUCGCCCCCAAUGCUUGUCUGGCAAUCAAAUUUGGAAUAGUCUGGCAUAAAAAAUUUUUACAGCUCGGGACACCAACUUUCCUUUGCAAUCCAAACAAACACACUGAAAUCUGAAAUCAAAGUAAAGCACCUAAGCAGCUUAUAUAAAAGACAAUCAAAGGACCUCCCCAGCCAGAGUUUUUUAUUAUACUUAUUUCACCAUGCCAAUAGGCGAAAAGUGUUAAACAAAAUUUGGAGUCUAGCGUUUAUUGAGUGGAACGAACGCCUCAGUUCGAGCUGAAUGGAAAAUGUAUAGCCGGGCGGGUAAAAGCAAAAGUUUAAAUUACUUUCCACCGAAACUUUGAUCCCAGACAAAAGAAAUAGGCAACGAAAAUGCAAGCCAGCUAGAUUAAUGCUUAAAGCGAAAAAGGGUAAAAUGUUAAAUAACUAAUUCAUGAAGCGGCAAAAACUUUUCCCUCUGCCAGAUUCCCUUUUUUCUAUUUUAAUAAUAGAUCAUUAUAUUUUAAUAAUGUGCUCUCAUCAAUUUUAAAGCCACUCUCGGCUCUUUAUUAUUAUUUUUUUGCCAAUCACCAAAUGCGAAAAAGUUUGCGGAUCUUCCUAUAUCAGAUGGCCUGACAAGAGAUGUCCUUUGUAGUCGUCGCAGGCCGCCAUCCGGAAGGACUGUCGUCGAACUGGCAGACAAACAAAACUCAACCGCAGACAGGCAGCAGCUCAAAGGGAGCGCUGUCCUCCUUCGAAAAGUUCAUUCGUUUGUAAAUAAUUUUUAGCCGCUGGCAAAAUCGAUACUUCACUUAAGAUUUUUGCAUACACUGCUCCUUGUAUUUUGUCAAGCGGCACAAAAGUUUUAAGCCAGCAAAGUUAUAUGAGCAGCGUAUGCCGAUAAUGCAUGCAGGCUGCGACAGGACUCAGGACUCAGCAGUCAAGGGGUCGUGGAGACUAUAAGAGACGUGGUAAGCGAAGCAUAAGCCAAAUGCUAAAGUUUCGCCAUUAAAGUUUUCCAUCAGCGCCUAUUUGCCGAACACUCGAAAUGGGGCCCCAAAAAGCCAAAAGGGGGCUAAGGCCAAAUAUUUGCCAGACAAUUAA